UGGGACUCCAAUUCUAAUUCGUUCUCUCAUUCCCUCUCUCUCUCUAAAAAAGCCCUAUUUUUACGAUUUUCGCUCUCUGAAAGUUGAAAUUCGUCCUUGGUUCUUUUCUUCCUGAAAGCGAAGAUGCGCAAAGGGAGUUCGAAGACGUCCACCGCCACGGAUCUCUUUCGCUCUGCCUCAAGUAAAGCAUCUACGAAGGAGAUGGAAAGAAUCGAUAAUCUAUUUUAUUCAUAUGGGAACAGGUCUUCUAGUAUGAUUGACCCAGAAGGAAUUGAAGCUCUUUGUUCAGAUAUGGAGAUAGAUCAUACUGAUGUUCGGAUCUUGAUGCUUGCCUGGAAAAUGAAAGCUGAGAAACAAGGAUACUUUACCCUGGAGGAAUGGCGUCAAGGCCUCAAAGCACUGAGGGCUGACACUGUAAGUAAAUUAAAGAAGGCCUUACCAGAGCUUGAAAAAGAGGUGAGGAGGGCAUCAAGCUUUGUGGACUUCUAUUCAUAUGCUUUUAGGUAUUGCUUGACAGAGGAGAAACAAAAGAGUAUAGACAUUGAGAGCAUCUGCCAAUUACUGGAUCUUGUUUUAGGGUCCCAAUUCCGAGCACAGGUGGAUUAUUUCAUUGACUAUCUGAAGACUCAGAGUGAUUAUAAGGUCAUAAACAUGGAUCAGUGGAUGGGCUUUUACCGGUAUUGCAAUGAGAUAAGUUUUCCAGACCACAAGAACUAUGAUCCAGAACUUGCUUGGCCCUUGAUCUUGGACAAUUUUGUAGAAUGGAUGCGAGCAAAGCAGGCGGCCCAAAACUAAUACUAUUAUGGUGAGCUUGCUUUGCUGUUGUACACUGCCUGCUAUUAUUGAAGAACCUGCAUACAUACACAUAAGCUCCACAAGCAAGCACUGCUCCCGCUCUUUUUACAUUUUUCUUCUAUUUUUUCUUCAUCCAAACAUGAAACUUUUGCUGAGAUUUCCUGCUAUUUUGUGUGAUAAGGAUAUGUAUGCGAUAGUAUUCAUACAUUCACCAUUUUGUACAAUUAGAUGCUGUUUUAAUAAAAUUAGCAAAUAAUUAAAUC